UCCAUUACUUACCGUUGAGCAAAUUGAUGCACUUGAGAGAUACACUGUGCUUAUUUGGGGGCCAAACGUCUUGCCACAGUACCCUCUCUGUACCUGCACUCCCCGCUCACAUCCAGGCUUGAGAAGCAUGGUUUUGUUGUACAUCCCAGGUAGCCUCAUGUAGAGGCAGGACAAAAACGACACUCUUCAACCAUGGCCACUUUAUCAAGAUGGUCAUCUCACUGAAAGAGCUGCCUGUGAGGUUUGGUAAUUGGUGAUUUUGUGUGCUGACAGACUGUCCUGUUCCUUUAUCCGGUUGGCAAUUCAGGAUUUUAUACAUGCUCUUUUGUUCUUUUCAUUUGCAGCUGAGCUGCUGUUUGUCCACCAGCUUAAGUCCAGUGAACAUCUCCUUAAGGUUAAAGACUGCUGUUUUUGGCAUGUGUAAUUAUUUUCAUCGUAGCCUUAGGUUGUUAGUUUGAGAUUUCUACUUCUUAUCACUAGUAUAAGUCCUUUUUUAUAUUUUCUGUCAACGUCUUUUUACAGUUUGUAAAAGUGUGAUAAAAUUAAAUGAUUGCACAGAUACUGUUGAAUGGUAAAAAAUGGAACCUCACUCUGAAAACAUCCAUUUGUUAGCCAGUAUAUGAAUAUCUGACUUAGGUGUGUAAAAGACUGUUCAGGGAUAGGUAAGAUACAGUGGUAAGGGUUGUUUGAAGGUUGAAUUGACAAAAGUAGAGGGCCAUCUGCAAACAAUUGAGCAAAUCAACCAAGGCAUUUUAGGAUUGUUGGGUUACUACAGCAUACUGAAUUUUUUGUUUAUCCCAACUCACUGUAAUACUGCCAUGAUCAGAUAGAUAUUGCUGCCAUAUUCAGUGAAGCCAUCUUUACGAGGGUAGUAUGACUCUUAGUCUGCUCUCAGUUUGUAAUUGAAAUUUGUGAGGAUUUCAUAUUUGAACAUUUUCCUGUAGGCUAUGUAUGAUGUGGUAGUAGAUUGUUUGCUAGAGAGAAUUUGUAUCGUUAUGCAAACAUAGCUCUUUCCACUAUUCCAUGCCUUCGAGAAUAGUCGAGGGGACAAAGCCAGCCCUAGGCAAAACUGUGAAGUACUACAAAAUUGUUUGCAUUCCCUUUGCCUUCAAUGCAAGUUUUCCUUUCCUCUGUCUUGGUAUUAUGUCCUAUUUUUGCUGAUAUAAUAACUGAUACUUAUUUUACAUUUUUUAUGCAUAAAGCCAAUCUUUUAAGUCCUUAGGGGCCUAAAUCUGUUGCUGGCUUCUGCAGACACUUAUGGUAGCUUGUUUCCUUAUGUCUUUGAUGGUGCUGACUGUGAGCUUUUAUUUGUUUGAUCUUAACCUGAGGCCCCAAAUAAGGGUAGGAUUUGCAUUUGCUUCUAAAGGGAUCCAGGGGCUGCGCCGUAGGCCACUUCAGUCUCCUUCAGCAGUUCUUGGCUUGAUGUGGCUCUCAGGUUCAGCUUCCCAGUGGCAAGUCUGAAGACUUAGUCUCCCAGUAGCUGGCUUCAUCCUCAGGGACACCCUGCCCUUAGAGUUUGCUUAUUGUUCAGUGUUCUACUCUGGAUUCAAGCCAUGGUUUGUUUGCUUGUAGCGGCGGUUCUUUUUGGUUAUGGUGCUGGGGUCCUUGUAGAUUUCCUUUACUUCGUGGAAGCCCAUCAGUGCACUAAAGAGUGUAUUUUAACCAAGAACUCGUUGUUUUGUACAGGAGGGUCCUUUGGAGUAACUGCUCCACAAUACUGCUGCCAGUUAUAGUUUCUUUACAGAUAUUUUUAAUUUUUUAAAUGAGGGAAGAUACCUUAGGAGAUUGAGAGACUGAAGAUAAAAGCAAAAAAAAAAAAAAAAAAAAAAAAAGAUGGGCGAGAAGCAGUAAAAAGGUCCAGGGAAGUAAGAGGCACUAGGAUCUGGAGCACAGAGAGGGAACACAGGUUUGCUCUGGAAGAACGUGCUGCCUGUGUCCCAGAAGGGGCAGGUGAGGAGGAGGGGGAGGAGGAAGGGCACCUGCCGAGAGCUGGGCGGAGCAAGACGUGUGGGCCUGAGGAGCUUGGGAACCAGUUAGCACAGCUUUGUGCAGAGUAGAAAGAGACUAGGCACGGGCUUCCCUGGUGGCGCAGUGGUUGAGAGUCCGCCUGCCGGUGCAGGGGACGCGGGUUCGUGCCCCAGUCCGGGAAGAUCCCACAUGCCACGGAGCGGCUGGGCCCAUGAGCCAUGGCCGCUGAGCCUGCGCGUCCGGAGCCUGUGCUCCGCAACGGGAGAGGUCACAACAGUGAGAGGCUUGCCUACUGCAAAAAGAAAAAAAAAGAGACUAGGCACUUGUCAAGUCCAGGUAAAAGGCUUGCUUGACUACGUUAAUAGUUCAAUAUAUAUUUAUUUUUAAAAAUCAUUGAUUUUGUAGGACUUGCUCUCAAGCAUAGUAGAUUAAACAUACAUGAUCAUCUUUGCUUUCUUCUGAAACCCCGAUGAAAGAUCAGUAAAGGGAUUUUUAAUAAGUUAUGAAUUUAUUAGGUUAAAGAGAAAGAGAGGGGGACACAAUUUUUUUUUUUUUAAGUCUAUUGAAUUUGUUACAAUACUGCUUCUGUUUUAUGUUUUGUUUUUUUGGCCGUGAGGCAUGUGGGAUCUUAGCUCCCCAAUCAGGGAUCAAACCCGAACCCCUUGCGUUGGAAGGCAAAGUCUGAACCACUGGACCGCCAGGGAAGUCUCCACAAUAUUAGUAACAUUUUGCAAGUUGGAAAACUGAGUAAUGCUGAAUUAAACUGACCAGUGAAAGCUGGGAGCUAAGUGCCUUCAGGGUUGGAGAACUUAGAGAAAAGCCAGUUCUUGCUGCAGAAUCCUGGAGAUGCUUAGGAAUUGGAAGUGCCAGGUGUCUCUGAAGGCAGACAACCAGGGGGAUUGAUGGAAAGAUAUCUCCGCUGUCAUGUACAGUCAUGGGACCACCCCUUCCCCGGUUUAGUACUAAAAUCUGCUCUCUGUAGAGGCUGGACCAAUGGGGCCUCCCUUAGUGAGCUCUUGGGCACAGUGGAGGCAGUGGUGUACCGAGAAUAGGGUUAAGAGAAAAGGCUGCAAAAUGGAAGAGUGAGGCAUCUUGACUUGGCUUCUGGAAUGCUGGCACUGGGGUUUUACCCACCCCACUUUCUUUCCUGCCAGAAGACGAGCGGAUACUCUUCUGGAGAAAAUGAACCCAAAACAGGGAAAGACUUAUAGAAACGGACAUUUAGAUGCCCCUCGAUGAAGCAGCUCACAACCCACCUGUGGGAACCACCGCGUGGCAGGCUGUGCCAUUUGUCUCCCUCUAGCUGGUAGAUGGGGAGUCAGGGAUCCCAUACAGGUGAGAAAACUUAUAAUUUGUGAGAGACCAAAACAAACAGAAGAAAAAAAUUACAUGAGAUGGAAAUUUAUGGGAAAAAAAAUCCUUAAUCACACCUCUUCAACACAACCAAUUUCCUUUUUAUUCCCCUCUGGCUUAAAACCUUUUCGAAACUGUUUGGAAUUACCUUCCCAGUCCGUGGUGUAUUUGUUUUACUAAAUGCAGUGGAGGUAAAUCUCUCUCCUUUGAAAGUAGCUUUGAUUUUUUCUGACGGCCGAGGUGCUUUGGCUCCCAUGAUGGCAGGGCUUUACUGCUCUUUCCUCCGCCUGAGCUGGUCCCUAGGGCCUGGGGCCGCUGUCGCUCAACAGGUGAACCAGAAAUUGUAUUGUGGGGGGAGGUGAGUGAUUUUGGUUUUAUUUUUGUCUUAAUAUAAAACUUAAUAGUUUAAUCUCAUUAGUUAUAGAUAAAUAAUGCAAAACCCCCCCAAAAAACUCCACGAUAGUUGAACAAUGUGACUCAGAGAAAAAAGAAAGUGCAGAUUUAUUCUUUUAAAAUAUUUAGCAUAUAAGAUUUGUGAUCUGACUUUGCAGAAGAAUAAAGUGCUUCUAGGGACUCCUGACUUGUUCUUUGGUUAUUUAAUAGGUGAUAGUGUGAUUCGCGAUAUUUCUUUCUCUCCCCUUCUUUCUUUUAUGUAAUCAGUGGAACAAAAUGAAUUAAACUUUACUAAUUGGCACAUUUUAUAAUGAAACCUCAUAGAGUAUAUUAUCCUUGAGGGUAAUUAGAAACAUUUCUGUUCGACUGCAGUAAUAGCAGUUGACCAAAAUUAUUGCAGAUUUUAUUGGAAUGGUUGUGCGACACAGGUUUAUAAAUAUUGUAAUGCAUGGAAAUGUAGACCAGUUUUAUUUUUAGAGAAGACUGAAUCCAUUUGCUUUUCCUUAAUUAAUUAAUGGAGGCAUAUUUGAUUUUGCUAAUUAGAAGUUUAAAUAUGAUUUUUAAUAUGUUAGAAUAAUCCCAGUAUUAGCUUCACAGUUAAAAUAGACAGUAACCUACACUCUGUCAUGUUUUUUCUGAGUAGAAGUUUAUAGUAAGUAUAAUCCAGCUAUGUGUCUUCAUCUUAAGGAAGUCUUUUGCUCUGAAAUUUCAGGCACUCUUUGCAGUGUAGCUCUGUUAAUUCUUAAGUUUUAAGUACCUGUAUUAGCACUGUAUUGGGCAGCAUUGAGAAACUGACAGUUUGACUUUCUGAAUGCAAGGAAAACAAUGAUUAGCUCUCUGUCUUUUAAUAUUCCUUUUAAUAACUACGUGUAACCUGAUUUAAUUGACCCGUAUGUUUCUUUUUUCUGGCUGCUGCUUUGUUUUCCGUCAGUGCUGUUUUUUCCCCUUCCUCGAAUGAGUGCUUAAAAAAUUUUUCUUUUCUCUCUCUCUUCCCCACCCCUCCUCCCCCCAACUCUGAUGGAAGGCGUUUGGUUAAGACAGUAUUUUAUUAUCUCUGGUUGUCUCCCUAAGGCCAAAAUAAGAGAGUUGAAUCUUAGUCCGUGAUUCUGAAUGGGUGCCGAGCAGAAAGCACUAACAGGGACUGGCCACAGCUUAGUUUCAGGUGUAGAUUUAUUAGAGCUGUGAGGGACCAUAAAUCUUGUCUUUCUUUCUCUUUCUUUGCAACUUUCUCUGCUGACGCUCAUAGGGACCCGGGAAGUAGCAUUUGGGCUUUAAAAUGGGAGAACCUCAGGGAUAGGGGUGGGAUUUCAGUGACGUUGAUCGGCAAACUAUUCGUAAUAAGAGUCUGUAUUUAUUAGUUGUUUGAGAUUAUUUGUAAAUUGGAUAUUUAAGUCAAGAACUUGAGUAUGUGUUGAUGAAUGUGUAGGCGAAUGUGUAGGCUGUCAGCUUGACGUGUAAAGUAAUAUGUGGUAUGUCCAAUCUGUCCCCUAACGUGGCUCAGAGUACUCACUUCCCAGGGAUUUGUAUUUAGGGUCUUCAGUGAAACAUGGAUUGGUUGACUGGAUUUUUUUCCGAGCUUGUAGAAACAGGUCUUUAUAGAAGUAAUUUGUAAGGUUUUUUUUUUUUUUUUUCUCCUUUGGAAGUCUGAAUUUGGGUUAAAUCUGAAUUCUGCCACUUACUCUAAGUAAGCUAACCUCUCUGAGCCUUGAUUUCCCAUCUGUAAAGUGAUGAUGAUCAUACCUGCUCCUUAAGGGUUGUUGUUAAGAUUAAUGUGAGCUAGAGAGAAUGGAAUGCUCAUGAUUUAAAAUAUUAAAAUGUUUAACUGGAGAUAUAGAGGCAAUUUAAAACCCUUUAAGAGAUUAAAAAAACAGCUCUAGGUUAUAAAAGUUCACAACACAGUAAACACGCUGAAUCUCUGCAAAUUUCUUUACUCAAAGAACAUCAAUUUACUUUGUCAUGAACCUGCAAAUUUCAAGGACUUUUAAGAUUCUCUUUCCUGUGAGAAAUGCAUGAAUAAUUUUUGGCAGGUGAGUUUUAUAUUUACUUGUUUUUAUUGAAACUAAGGAAGAUAUUUGGCCUCACAUGAAAGCUAAGUGUUAUAAAUGCCGCUUGGAAACUAAUGCAAUAUGAGUGACUUGCUUAAUGUAAAACCUGCUAAGCAGUCACUCUUCACUUGCUGUGAAAUUAUUUGCUUCUAGAUUAGCCCCAGAAAUAAGAAUAUAGUAUUAUGCAAGAAUGUUUUUGCUUUAGUAAAUGGAAGUUGUCAGAGAUUUCACCUGGAAUUUGCUUAUUCUUGCCUUUAGUUUUGUUAGAACUUUGGCCUUGAAAUGCUACUCUUUACUUGUAUGGAAUGGAUUUAUCAUUAUUUUCAUUAGUAUUGUAUUACAUUGAUAACGAAGCUGUGUAUGUACUCCUUAAUUAACCAGCUGUAAACUUGGCUGAGGUCAUGAUGUGAAUGGCACAUGGAACCAAAGAGAGGAUCCUUGUCGCCAUUUUAAGAUUUGAAAAUUAGAUGUGUUUACACCCCGGAAGGAAAAAAAUCCAAUCAAGCACCAUCUGUGUGUCCUGAGUACUUGUUCCCUCACCUUCUGUAAUUAAAACACUUGUGCUGGGGACUUCCCUGGUGGUCCAGUGGUUAAGAAUCCGUCUUGCAAUGCAGGGGACGCUGGUUCGAUCCUUGAUCAGGAACUAAAAUUCCACAUACUGCGGGAUCUACUGAGUAUGUAGAGCCCGCGUGCCGCAACUACUGAGCCUGCGCACCACAACUAGAGAGCCCAUGUGCCACAACUACAGAGCCCUUGUGCUCUGGAGCCCGCGUGCCACAACUAGAGAGAAGCCCAUGUGCCACAACUAGAGAAAAGCCUGCGCAUCGCAACGAAAGAUCCCACGUGCCACAGCUAAGACCUGACGCAGCCAAAUAAAUAAGUAUUAAAAAAAACCCUUGUGCUGGCUGCUUGGCUGAACCAGGGGUAUAUUAUUAAACUGGCUAAUUUAUUUGGUCUAAAAUGUUCUUUAGGGAAUCAGUGAGUGACUUUAAAUGUUCUUGCUGGGUCUGGGUCACCACAUUCUCUGGGGUAAGCCAAGGAAUGACAGUUCAGCAAAUAAGUAUUAUGUAUUAUAUGCCAACAAACCAACUUGUUGGAACCGGUUGUUAACUCGUUUGGGUUAUGUUGGACAGCUUUUUUUUUUUUUUUAAGAUGUAUUUAUUAUUUAUUUAUUUAUUUUAGGCUGCGUCGGGUCUUAGUUGUGGCACGUGGGAUCUUUUGUUGUUGCGGUGCGCGGGCUCUUUGUUGUGGUGUGCGGGCGUCUCUCUAGGGGUGGUGUGUGGGUUUUCUCUUCUCUAGUUGUGGCGCACACGUUCCAGAGCGUGAGGGCUCUGUAGUUUGCGGCACGUGGGCUCUAGUUGAGGUGUGAGAGCUCGGUAGUUGUGGCACACGGGCUUUAGUUGCCCGGCGGCAUGUGGGAUCUUAAUUCCCUGACCAGGGAUCAAACCCGUGUCCCCUGCAUUGUAAGGUGAUCCUGUUGGACAGCUUUGGCAGAGAGAGAUUUAGUUAUAUCUUGUCCUGACUUUCUUCACUAGUUGAGCUGUAAGCCUACCACUUCUAGAAUGAGAUUUAAUGUGGUUAUUGAACUUGAUUCUUGCUGUGUAUUCUUUUGAGCAUUGAUUCGUGUCUUCAGCGUGAAAGAGUAAUCUCUUCGAGCUUUGCACUGACCUCUCAGAGGGCUACUGUGCCAGUUCUAUUUUUGGCGAGGCAGGAAGGAAUUUCUUCAUACUUUCUAAUGAUACCAGGUGAAACUGUGGUCUAGAAAAACAGAAUUGCUAAACUUCGUUUUGAGAUUCCAAGUGCUUUGAUGUUUUGGAAGUAACCACUAGAUUUGGACUUAGACGCCUGUGUUCACUUCGGUGAACACGUAUUGAGUGUGUAUCAUGUGCCAAGUUCUUUGUCAGUCAUCACCCUGAAGAAGGACAAAGUCUAAUAGGGGCCAACUUUACAUGUAGUCAGAAACUAAGUGCAACCAACAUUUAUAAUAACAGACAGAUGCACAAGGCAUAGAUGCUGUGUAGAUGAUUAUUUUUAUUCAGGGUGAGGCAAGAGAGUUGGAUUUUAUGGAGGAGAUGAAGACUGAGGAUGGUUCAGGUAGAUAAAGUUGGGCUUUAAAAAAAAAAAACAAAAUCAGGGUUUUUGGGCAUUCCAGGAAGAGAGAAUGUAAUUGUAGGAGGCAUGAUACGGCAAGUAUUAGGCAGCUUGGCACUGCAGGAAUAUAAAUCACGAAGGGAGUAAUGGUGGGAGAUAAAGAUAGAAAGGGAUUCAGGGCUUGUAUCUUGCAGGGUCUGACAUACUGUAGUUUGGGGCUUUGAGUUUUUUCUGAUGUGUAGUAAUCAGCUUAAAGCAAUUGACAAGAUCUAAGCCAGGAGAAUGAAAGGAUGGAAUUUAGUUAGCUCCCUCUGAUAGCGAUCUGGGGUUUGGAUUGGAGAGGAGUAAAAUUAGAGGUAGGAAUACUAGUUAAGAAGGUUUAAAGAAGUUCCAGAGUGAGUUUUAAUUUAGUAAAUUUGUUUAAAAUGAUGACAUAAUGAACGAAAGAAUGACAAGGAGUUAAGGAAAGAGGAAAUAUCAGAGGGGCAGACUGUGUAAUUGAGAGGACCUAGAGACUGAUUGGUUAUAAAAAGAUGAGUAGGAGAGAAUCAUCUGGGUUUGGGGCUUGGGUUACUGAUGUAGUCACCAAAAAGGACAAUAAAGAAUAAAGAACUGGAUUUGAAGUGUUGGGAAAGAGGAGUUCAGUUUUGAGUGUGUUGAGGCUGAGGUACCAGUGAAGUAUCUAGGUGGAGGUGGCCGGGAGGUAAGUAGAUAUAAAAAUAUGACGUGCAGUGGAGAGGCUGAGAGGAAAACCAUAGACUUAGGAAUCACCAGCGUGUAAGUGAUGGUUGAUGAAGGGAGAACACAGGGAGUGAGACAUGAAGAGAAGAAACCCGGUGGUGGAAUUCUGGGGGAACAUGUCAAUGUUGAAAGGCAUUCUGAGGUAGCAGAUACUGGGAAUGAAUAGGAAAAGUAGUAGGUUAGAAAGAAGGCAUAGGGACUGAGAGAAGAAAGAACUUCAUGAAGGAGUAGGUGUCAGUAAUGUCCAAAGCCAGGAGCCACAUGAGAUCCUGAUUGGCUUUGGAUGUUAGAAGGUCACUUGGCUUAGAGACGGAAGCCCCAGAGGAGCAUUUCUAUUGGAACAGUAAUUUGUAACCUACCUUCGCUGCUUGCUUAUUCUGUGACUUGGGAAAGCCAUUUUGUCUUUGGCUCUUUGUAAAGAGGUGGUUGGCCUCUUAGCGGGUUUCAUUCUGUGAUUGGUGGGGCUCCAUGGGUUCAGAGAAGGCACUUUGAGGCUCAUCAAGGAGAUCAAGGGUCAGGUCAGAUAUUCGUUGGGGGAGAAGGUGCAGAUAGUCUAGUCCUGAUUCAAACAGAGCGGCUGGAGCAGCUUGAAUUUGUAUCUGUUUUAUCUAUUUGACUUUAGUAUCAGAUUUUAUUUGAAAAAACAUAGUGCAGUAUAAGAAACUUGAAAACUGCUUGCCUACAGAAGCCAUAGUUAACCUUCAAGCAUUAAAAGAGAGAGAAUAAAUAGCUGGUGAUCAAAAUUCCUCUACUAGGGCUUCCCUGGUGGCGCAAUGGUUGAGAGUCCGCCUGCUGAUGCAGGGGACACGGGUUCGUGCCCUGGUCCAGGAAGAUCCCACAUGCCGUGGAGCGGCUGGGCCCGUGAGCCAUGGCCGCUGGGCCUGUGCGUCCGGAGCCUGUGCUCCGCAACGGGAGAGGCCACAGCAGUGAGAGGCCCGCGUACCACAAAAAAAAAAAAAAAAAAAAAAAAAAAAUUCCU